AUGCAUUUUGUGCAAAUAAAAAAAUGGCAUUUUCAAACAACGCAAGCUUUAGCAUUGAACGGCUGUGUUGUUAAAGAGCGAAGUAUGGAACCCUGCGCAUACAGAGAAGCCUUAGCAUUGAACGGUUGUGUUGUUAAAGUGCGAAGUAUGGAACCCUGCGCAGACGGAGAAGCCUUAGCAUUGAACGGUUGUGUUGUUAAAGUGCGAAGUAUGGAACCCUGCGCAUACAGAGAAGCCUUAGCAUUGAACGGUUGUGUUGUUAAAGUGCGAAGUAUGGAACCCUGCACAGACGGGGAAGCCUUAGUAUUGAACGGUUGUGUUGUUAAAGUGCGAAGUAUGGAACCCUGCGCAGACGGGGAAGCCUUAGCAUUGAAUGGUUGUGUUGCUAAAGUGCGAAGUAUGGAACCCUGCACAGACGGGGAAGCCUUAGCAUUGAACGGUUGUGUUGUUAAAGUGCGAAGUAUGGAACCCUGCACAGACGGGGAAGCCUUAGCAUUGAACGGUUGUGUUGUUAAAGUGCGAAGUAUGGAACCCUGUGCAGACGGGGAAGCCUUAGCAUUGAACGGUUGUGUUGUUAAAGUGCCAAGUAUGGAACCCUGCGCAGACGGGGAAGCCUUAGCAUUGAACGGUUGUGUUGUUAAAAUGCGAAAUAUGGAACCCUGCGCAGACGAGGAAGCCUUAGCGUUGAACGGUUGUGUUGUUAAAGUGCCAAGUAUGGAACCCUGCGCAGACGGGGAAGCCUUAGCAUUGAACGGUUGUGUUGUUAAAAUGCGAAAUAUGGAACCCUGCGCAGACGAGGAAGCCUUAGCGUUGAACGGUUGUGUUGUUAAAGUGCCAAGUAUGGAACCCUGCGCAGACGGAGAAGCCUUAGCAUUGAAAGGUUGUGUUGUUAAAGUGCGAAGUAGGGAACCCUGCGCAGACGGGGAAACCUUAGCAUUGAACGGUUGUGUUGUUAAAGGGCGAAGUAUGGAACCCUGCGCAGACGGUCGGUCAAUGCGACUUAAGCAACGUGCAGUCAUUGCAUUCUUGAUGGCAGAAGGUGUCACCCCAAAGGAGAUUCACCAGAGAAUGCAACUGUUUAUGGUGGUUGUGUUGAUGUGA
rnacentral:lncRNA from 1 species